rnacentral:rRNA from 1 species
GAUGAACGCUAGCGGCAGGCCUAAUACAUGCAAGUCGAGGGGUAGAUGGGGCUUGCUCCAUUGAGACCGGCGCACGGGUGCGUAACGCGUAUGCAACCUACCUUGAUCAGGGGGAUAGCCCGGAGAAAUCCGGAUUAACACCGCAUAAAACCACAGCAGGACAUCCUGCAAUGGUCAAACAUUCAGGGGAACAGGAUGGGCAUGCGUGCAAUUAGCUUGUUGGCGGGGUAACGGCCCACCAAGGCUACGAUGGCUAGGGGAUCUGAGAGGAUGGCCCCCCACACUGGUACUGAGACACGGACCAGACUCCUACGGGAGGCAGCAGUAAGGAAUAUUGGUCAAUGGAGGCAACUCUGAACCAGCCAUGCCGCGUGCAGGAAGACGGCCCUCCGGGUUGUAAACUGCUUUUAUCCGGGAAUAAACCUAUCUACGUGUAGAUAGCUGAAUGUACCGGAGGAAUAAGGAUCGGCUAACUCCGUGCCAGCCGCCGCAGUAA